CUCAGCUUCGGCAUUCCAGCCUGGAACAAUCCUCCCAGACCUGGAGGUCCGCCCCCUCCAAAACUUCCACCGCCUCCGCCACCACCUCCUCCGCCAAAUCCGCCGCCUCCACCAAAGCCACCACCACCGCCUCCAGCACCAGCUCCUUUAGGUUCUGUAGAAGAAGAGACACCCGACAGACUAUGCCCCCUGGUCUGGCCCAGAAAUGGACUGGAGAAGCUAAAAAAGACACUGCUGGACUUGUCACAGCCGCCGGGAAACAAGAAUUAAGACAGUUCGGAAGAGUCCCAUUCAAAGUGGGCGGUCUAGAAAAUGAAAAUUUUAAAUUCCACAGCAGCAACAGCAGCUCUCAUGUAUGGAGAAUCUGCUGGAUCCAGGGCUCUAUCCUUGCGUGGUCUCUGACUCCUAAGACAGCGGAAGCCAGCAUCGCUGUGCUCAUUUGAUAGACUCAGAGAAA
rnacentral:lncRNA from 1 species